rnacentral:rRNA from 1 species
ACAUGUCCGGAAUCCUGCAGAGAUGCGGGAGUGCCCGAAAGGGAAUCGGAACACAGGUGCUGCAUGGCUGUCGUCAGCUCGUGUCGUGAGAUGUUGGGUUAAGUCCCGCAACGAGCGCAACCCUUGCCAUUAGUUGCUACGAAAGGGCACUCUAAUGGGACUGCCGGUGACAAACCGGAGGAAGGUGGGGAUGACGUCAAGUCCUCAUGGCCCCUAUAGGUGGGGCUACACACGUCAUACAAUGGCCGGUACAGAGGGUAGCCAACCCGCGAGGGGGGAGCCAAUCCCAUAAAGCCAUUCGUAGUCCGGAUCGCAGUCUGCAACUCGACUGCGUGAAGUCGGAAUCGCUAGUAAUCGUGGAUCAGAAUGUCACGGUGAAUACGUUCCCGGGUCUU